ensembl:lncRNA
UGCAGGGAGAGAAAGUGACUGCUGUGCUGGGGAAAGGAGGAGGGAAGCUGUGGCCCUCAGCCAGCUGUCCUUUAAAAAUUAAUCACUAUAGGCACCAACUAAUUUUUCUCAUGGCUGAUCCUUCAAAAUGUACGUGGGGAAAACUGGAAAGUGCAACAGACUGUAGAAAUCUACUUCUCUGUGUCCUGCAGUGACCAUUGCAAGGGAAGACAAAGAUUCACCACUGCUUAUUCACUUGGCUUGAAUAACACACUGCUGCCCAGAAGCUGUUCUUUUUUCCCAAAGAGAAAGGAUAGAAGUGAGUGCUUUUGAAAGGGAUGGGACUUGACAGUGUGUUAAUAUGAUGACCCUCAAGUAGCAGGAUACAGUGACCAGGUAUGGUGCGUAUCAGCUCUGAUGCUCGCAGCUCCACGAGGCAGGCUCAGGCCCCCAGAAGCCACCCUUCUCUGCCCGGAGCUGGCAAUUAAAGCUCUGCUCCUCCAACC